rnacentral:rRNA from 1 species
UACGUAGGGUGCGAGCGUUGUCCGGAAUUACUGGGCGUAAAGAGCUCGUAGGUGGUUUGUCGCGUUGUCCGUGAAAACUCACAGCUCAACUGUGGGCGUGCGGGCGAUACGGGCAGGCUGGAGUACUGCAGGGGAGACUGGAAUUCCUGGUGUAGCGGUGAAAUGCGCAGAUAUCGGGAGGAACACCAGUGGCGAAGGCGGCACUCUGGGCCAGUAUUGACGCUGAGGAGCGAAAGCGUGGGGAGCGAACAGG